ACAUGCUCUAGUGCUAAUGUGCUUGAAUAUCUACAUGCUGAUGUUUGGGGCCCUGCCUCAGUUCCUACACAUGGGGGUUACUCUUAUUUUCUUACUCUUAUUUUCUUGAUGAAACACAAGUCUGGUGUGUUUGUUAAGUUUCAGAACUGGAUGAAGCUUAUAGAGAACCAAACUGGAAGGAAGAUUGGGACUCCCAUACUGACAAUUGUUUAGAAUUUUGUAAUUCUCAGAUUGAUGACUUGUGUGUAAAUGCAGGUAUCAGGAGACACAAGACUGUGCCAUACACUCCACAGCAAAAUGAGGUGGCCCAUCGGGUUGCUAUUUAAAAAAAAUAUUAAUAUUAAUAUUUAGGGAUUUAACUUCAUCUAGGGUUUCUUAUCUUAUAUUGAUGCGUAGCCUUUUUCUAAAUCCAACUCCCUCAAGUCUUUCUCAAAUCUCAUAUUGCCUUUUUCUCAAAUCCAACUCCCUCACGUCUUUCUCAAAUUGAAGAUUAGGGCAAUUGUGGUUCUUGUUGUGCUUUCGGUGCUGAGUUAAGUCAAGCAGUGUGACAUUUAACUUGACGCCAGAACUCAUUCAUCAGGUAAGCUUCCUUCUCUCACAUUUGAGCAUUCUUAUUUCCACACCUUGAAGUUGAAGCCAUUUUAUAAUAUCACUACUUUGAUUUCUGGUUCAUCAUACCCUACUUCCAAUCUCUAUUUUAUGGAAAUCUGGAAGAUUGCAUCUUUAUUGAAUAAAAUGUCCGAAUAUCAAGAUGCAGUGGUCAAGUCUAUGGCUCUUAAGAUGAAACUGAAAUUUGAUAAAUAUUGGAAAGAGUAUAGUGAAAUACUCUCUAUAGGAGCAGUGCUUGAUCCGAGAAUGAAGUUCAAAGUUUUGGAUUAUUUUUAUUCAAGAAUUGAUCCUCUUACAAGCAAGGAUAAAAUUUUGAAGCUGAAGAUGAAAUUGUAUGCUUUAUAUGAUGAGUAUAAGAAAAUGGGUGUUGGGGUAUCUUUAUUUAAAGUUCCUCAAGCUAGUAGUGGAAGUUCUAGUUCUCAAGUCAGAGAACUUGAAUUCAUGGGUGAAGAAUUAAGGGGAGGAGAAAUUAAUCAAGCAUUGUUGAAUUGGGAGGAAGACGACUUUGUUAUAUAUAAGAAUCAAGCAGGUGCAACUUCUGAAGCAAAGUCACCGUUGGUGUUUAUUUGGAGGAAGGUCAGAUGGCUGAAAAUGGUGAGCUUGAUUUACUCAAGUAUUGGAGAGAUAAUGCAUCCCGCUUUGGAGAACUUUCUACAAUGGCAUGUGAUGUGCUAAGCAUUCCUAUAACAGCGGUAGCAUCAGAAUCUUCAUUUAGAAUUGGAGCGCAUGUUUUGAAUAAAUACAGAAAUAGGCUCCUUCCUGAAAAAGUGCAAGCUCUUAUUUGUUUACAUAAUUGGUUG